rnacentral:tRNA from 1 species
GGUUGUGGCUCAGUGGUAGAGGACUAGCCUAGCAUGGGUGAGAUACUGGGUUCAAUCCUCAGCACCA